rnacentral:rRNA from 1 species
CGGACGACGCUGGCGGCGUGCUUAACACAUGCAAGUCGAACGGUGACGAGGAGCUUGCUCCUCUGAUCAGUGGCGAACGGGUGAGUAACACGUGAGCAACCUGCCCCAGACUCUGGGAUAACAGUUGGAAACAGCUGCUAAUACCGGAUACGAGACGGAGAGGCAUCUCUACCGUCUGGAAAGUUUUCGGUCUGGGAUGGACUCGCGGCCUAUCAGCUAGUUGGUGAGGUAAUGGCUCACCAAGGCGACGACGGGUAGCCGGCCUGAGAGGGCGACCGGCCACACUGGGACUGAGACACGGCCCAGACUCCUACGGGAGGCAGCAGUGGGGAAUAUUGCACAAUGGGCGAAAGCCUGAUGCAGCGACGCCGCGUGAGGGAUGACGGCCUUCGGGUUGUAAACCUCUUUCAGCAGGGAAGAAGCGAAAGUGACGGUACCUGCAGAAGAAGCACCGGCUAACUACGUG